rnacentral:rRNA from 1 species
UACGUAGGGUGCAAGCGUUGUCCGGAAUUAUUGGGCGUAAAGGGCUCGUAGGCGGUUUGUCGCGUCGGGAGUGAAAACACCGGGCUUAACUCGGUGCUUGCUUUCGAUACGGGCAGACUAGAGGUAUUCAGGGGAGAACGGAAUUCCUGGUGUAGCGGUGAAAUGCGCAGAUAUCAGGAGGAACACCCGUAGCGAAGGCGGCACUCUGGGCCGGAACUGACGCUGAGGAGCGAAAGCGUGGGGAGCGAACAGG